ACGGAGAGUUUGAUUCUGGCUCAGAACGAACGCUGGCGGCGUGGAUAAGACAUGCAAGUCGAGCGGGGACCAGUGGGUAGCAAUAUUCGCUGGUUCUAGCGGCGAACGGGUGCGUAACACGUGGGUAAUCUGCCCUGAAGACCGGGAUAACUGCGCGAAAGCGUGGCUAAUACCGGAUGUGGAGGCCGGAGGACAUCCUCUGGACUCCAAAGCUGGGGAUUCCUUCGGGAACCUGGCGCUUCAGGAUGAGCCCGCGGCCUAUCAGCUCGUUGGCGGGGUAACGGCCCACCAAGGCUAAGACGGGUAGCUGGUCUGAGAGGACGACCAGCCACACUGGAACUGAGACACGGUCCAGACACCUACGGGUGGCAGCAGUCGAGAAUCUUUCACAAUGGGCGAAAGCCUGAUGG
rnacentral:rRNA from 1 species